rnacentral:pre_miRNA from 1 species
CAAAUACUCCCUCCGUCCGGAAAUNAAAAUGGAUAAAAGGAAAUGUAUCUAGACGUAUUUUAGUUUUAGAUACAUCUCUUUUUAUCCAUUUUGAUGACAAGUAUUUUCGGACGGAGGGAGUAGAAA